rnacentral:rRNA from 1 species
GGGGGGCGCGGGGGGGGGGGCUGGGGGGGGGGGGGGGAGGGGGGGAGGGGGGCGUGCGCGGGGGGUCAGCGGCGGACGGGUGGGUAAUGGCUGGGAAGCUGCCGGGGGGUGGGGGAGCACGGCCGGAAACGGGCGCUAAGGCCGCCGACGUACGGAGGGCGAAAGGGGGGGAUCUUCGGACCGCAGGGUAUCCGAGGCGCCUAGGCCGGAUUAGCUAGUUGGUGGGGUGAAGGCCUACCAAGGCGACGAUCCGUAAGCGGUCUGAGAGGAAGAUCAGUACCACUGGAACUGAGACACGGUCCAGACUCCUACGGGAGGCAGCAGUGGGGAAUAUUGGACAAUGGGCGAAAGCCUGAUCCAGCCAUGCCGCGUGUGUGAAGAAGGUCUUCGGAUUGUAAAGCACUUUAAGUUGGGAGGAAGGGCAGUAAGUUAAUACCUUGCUGUUUUGACGUUACCAACAGAAUAAGCACCGGCUAACUUCGUG